UACGUAGGGCGCAAGCGUUGUCCGGAUUUAUUGGGCGUAAAGAGCGUGUAGGCGGCCAGGUAGGUCCGGUGUGAAAACUCGAGGCUUAACCUCGAGAUGUCAUCGGAAACCAUCUGGCUAGAGUCCGGAAGAGGAAAGUGGAAUUCCUGGUGUAGCGGUGAAAUGCGCAGAUAUCAGGAGGAACACCAAUAGCGAAGGCAGCUCGCUGGGACGGUAUUGACGCUAAGGCGCGAAAGCGUGGGGAGCGAACAGG
rnacentral:rRNA from 1 species